GCUACGCAGAGGAAGUCGUUUUACCUGGGAGGAAAGAAUGUUCUGGCUGUGAUGGAGAGCUACUUCAAUGACAACCAGUACCCCGAUGAAGCUAAGAGAGAGGAGAUCUCUAACGCCUGCAACGCUGUCAUCCAGAAACCAGGGAAGAAGCUAUCGACCUGGAGAGAGUCAGCUCUCUAAAAGUCUACAACUGGUUUUGCCAACCGACGCAAGGAGAUCAAGAGACGAGCUAAUAUGGUA